rnacentral:rRNA from 1 species
UACGAAGGGGGCUAGCGUUGUUCGGAAUUACUGGGCGUAAAGGGCGCGUAGGCGGUGUGUCAAGUCAGGCGUGAAAGCCCCGGGCUCAACCGGGCGGAUGCGGGUGAAACCGCGCGACUUGAGGGUGGGAGAGGUCGGCGGAAUUCCCGGUGUAGUGGUGAAAUGCGUAGAUAUCGGGAGGAACACCCGUAGCGAAGGCGGCCGACUGGACCACACCUGACGCUGAGGCGCGAAGGCCAGGGGAGCGGAACGGG